rnacentral:rRNA from 1 species
ACGUUGUUCGGAAUCACUGGGCGUAAAGGGCGCGUAGGCGGAUCGGUAAGUCAGAGGUGAAAGCCUGGGGCUCAACUCCAGGACUGCCUUUGAAACUGCCGUUCUAGAGUUCAGGAGAGGAAGGCGGAAUUCCAGGUGUAGCGGUGGAAUGCGUAGAUAUCUGGAAGAACACCAGUGGCGAAGGCGGCCUUCUGGACUGACACUGACGCUGAGGCGCGAAAGCUAG